rnacentral:rRNA from 1 species
GUUGAACGCUGGCGGCGUGCCUAAUACAUGCAAGUCGAGCGAACAGACGAGGAGCUUGCUCCUCUGACGUUAGCGGCGGACAGGGGAGUAACACGUGGAUAACCUACCUAUAAGACUGGGAUAAAUUCGUGAAACCGGAGCUAAUACCGGAUAAUAUAUUGAACCGCAUGGUUCAAUAGUGAAAGACGGUUUUGCUGUCACUUAUAGAUGGAUCCGCGCCGCAUUAGCUAGUUGGUAAGGUAACGGCUUACCAAGGCAACGAUGCGUAGCCGACCUGAGAGGAUGAUCGGCCACACUGGAACUGAGACACGGUCCAGACUCCUACGGGAGGCAGCAGUGGGGAAUCUUCCGCAAUGGGCGAAAGCCUGACGGAGCAACGCCGCGUGAGUGAUGAAGGUCUUCGGAUCGUAAAACUCUGUUAUUAGGGAAGAACAAAUGUGUAAGUAACUAUGCACGUCUUGACGGUACCUAAUCAGAAAGCCACGGCUAACUACGUG